AUUUGAUUUUUAUGGGGGGGGGCUAGGAUGAAAAAUUUUGUCCUGCAUUUUUUUUUAGUUGUAAUCUCUGUCCUGCCUUUUUAUUUUUCACUCUAUUCGGUCCUGCUUUUUUUUAUUAGUUUAUCCUGACUCUUUUUACCUAAAUUGUCAUCCUGCCUUUUUUUUUUGGCAAAGUGUCUCAUCCUGCCUUUUUUUCUCACUCAAAACUCCUGUCCUGCCUAUUUUUUUCAAAUUUCCUCAAAUUUUUAUAGGGGGGGCUAGGAUGAAAAAUUUUGUCCUGCAUUUUUUUUAGUUGUAAUCUCUGUCCUGCCUUUUUAUUUUUCACUCUAUUCGGUCCUGCCUUUUUUUUAUUAGUUUAUCCUGACUCUUUUUACCUAAAUUGUCAUCCUGCCUUUUUUUUUGGCAAAGUGUCUCAUCCUGCCUUUUUUUUGGCAAAGUGUCUCAUCCUGCCUUUUUUUCUCACUCAAAACUCCUGUCCUGCCUAUUUUUUUCAAAUUUCAUCAAAUUUUUAUGGGGGGGGGGGGGGGGGGGGGGGGGCUAGGAUGAAAAAUUUUGUCCUGCAUUUUUUUUUUGUUGUAAUCUCUGUCCUGCCUUUUUAUUUUUCACUCUAUUCGGUCCUGCCUUUUUUUAUUAGUUUAUCCUGACUCUUUUUACCUAAAUUGUCAUCCUGCCUUUUUUUUUGGCAAAGUGUCUCAUCCUGCCUUUUUUUUUUGGCAAAGUGUCUCAUCCUGCCUUUUUUCUCACUCAAAACUCCUGUCCUGCCUAUUUUUUUCAAAUUUCAUCAAAUUUUUAUGGGGGGGCUAGGAUGAAAAAUUUUGUCCUGCAUUUUUUUUAGUUGUAAUCUCUGUCCUGCCUUUUUAUUUUUCACUCUAUUCGGUCCUGCCUUUUUUUUUAUUAGUUUAUCCUGACUCUUUUUACCUAAAUUGUCAUCCUGCCUUUUUUUUUUGGCAAAGUGUCUCAUCCUGCCUUUUUUUUCUCACUCAAAACUCCUGUCCUGCCUAUUUUUUUCAAAUUUCAUCCUAGCCCCCCCCCCC
rnacentral:lncRNA from 1 species